AGUCAAUAGAUACCCCGGUAGUCCACGCCGUAAACGAUGAAUGCUAGGUGUUAGGGGGGUCCAACCCCUUAGUGCUGAAAGUUAAACACAUUAAAGCAUUCCGCCUGGGGAGUACGACCGCAAGGUUGAAACUCAAAGGAAUUGACGGGGGCCCGCACAAGCAGUGGAGCAUGUGGUUUAAUUCGAAGCAACGCGAAGAACCUUACCAGGUCUUGACAUCCUCUGACAGCCUGAGAGAUCAGGUGUUCCCCUUCGGGGGACAGAGUGACAGGUGGUGCAUGGUUGUCGUCAGCUCGCGUCGUGAGAUGUUGGGUUAAGUCCCGCAACGAGCGCAACCCUUGAUCUUAGUUGCCAGCAUUCAGUUGGGCACUCUAAGGUGACUGCCGGUGACAAACCGGAGGAAGGUGGGGAUGACGUCAAAUCAUCAUGCCCCUUAUGAUCUGGGCUACACACGUGCUACAAUGGGCGGUACAAAGGGCCGCGAGACCGCGAGGUUGAGCCAAUCCCAUAAAGCCG
rnacentral:rRNA from 1 species